rnacentral:rRNA from 1 species
GUGAGGAAUAUUGGUCAAUGGGCGAGAGCCUGAACCAGCCAAGUAGCGUGCAGGAUGACGGCCCUAUGGGUUGUAAACUGCUUUUACACGGGGAUAAAGUGUGCGACGUGUCGUUCAUUGCAGGUACCGUGCGAAUAAGGACCGGCUAAUUCCGUGCCAGCAGCCGCGGUAAUACGGAAGGUCCGGGCGUUAUCCGGAUUUAUUGGGUUUAAAGGGAGCGUAGGCCGUCUGUUAAGCGUGUUGUGAAAUGUAGAUGCUCAACAUCUGAAUUGCAGCGCGAACUGACCGACUUGAGUGCGCAGGAAGUAGGCGGAAUUCGUGGUGUAGCGGUGAAAUGCUUAGAUAUCACGAAGAACUCCAAUUGCGAAGGCAGCUCACUGGGGUACAACUGACACUGAGGCUCGAAAGUGUGGGUAUCAAACAGGAUUAGAAACCCCAGUAGUCC